rnacentral:lncRNA from 1 species
UGCACCCAAUGUGCAAGAUCCUAGCAUGCAAAACUAUGGAUACUCUGGUUAUGGCAGUUACGAGCAGCAACAGCAGCCAUCUCAGCAGCAGCAACCUCCACAGCAGCAGCCACCACAGCAGCAACAGCAGCAGCCCCCACAGCAGGCAAGAAAUUGACAACCCAAUAUAUCCUACUGCCUUAUCUUAGUGAAUUCAUCUAAAACAAUCUUUUUGAAAUUUGUCUGUGCAAAUAAACCAAAAAAUGAUACAAAUACGCUUCUCAAACUGCAAUUUGGUGGCUGAUUUUUGUGAUUUUGAACAUUGUUCACAUGCUUAAAUGAUGGCUUGUCUUUGGCUAAUGACUAACCUGGCUACUUAAUAUUUUGCAGUGACCAUUGAGGCAAUGGAGCGCAAUCACAGAUUCAGAGCUGCAUGAACUGAAUGCUACCGCGUCAUGAGUUAUCGUAUAGGUGUCCUUGUUUGUAAGAUGGGUCGUAUCUAGUAGUACUUUGACCGUUGGGCAGUAGCUCUAGUUCUAUUCAGUGCUUCUCUUGGUUUUAAAUUAUCAAACUAUGUCCAUGACUGAGUUAAGCUUUUAAUGUUAUUUUGGAUCACCAGUUUCUUGUUUUUUGCGUUGAGAGUUAAGGCUUUUGGGUGAGAGCUGAACAGAGCGGCUCAACUUGUGCAAAUUUUAGCUGAGAGCUUGAACCAAAAGGCUUAUGUAGUCUGCCAUUUUGUUGUUGCGAGAAUGCCUCAAAUAAGCAAAAACAGCAAAUCAAAAUAACUCUAGUGUCA